CCCUCUUUUUUUAUGAAUGUCAUCUCUGUAGGCCUUUUGAUCAAAUUUGGUUACAAAUUUAUAAUAAAGAAUGAUUUUUAUGAUAUCAUUAUGAAUGAUACUGCAAUUAUGCUUGGAUAAUUAAAACAUAGCAUAUACAUAAUAUCAUGGCAUAUUAGUGUAAUGUACACAGCCAGCAAGCAUCCUAAAUUAGAUAAUGUCAGUGAAUCCU
rnacentral:lncRNA from 1 species